rnacentral:rRNA from 1 species
UACGUAGGGUGCAAGCAUUGUCCGGAUUUAUUGGGCGUAAAGAGCUCGUAGGCGGCUUGUCACGUCGGAUGUGAAAACUCGGGGCUCAGCCCCGAGCCUGCAUUCGAUACGGGCUAGCUAGAGUGUUGCAGGGGAGACUGGAAUUCCUGGUGUAGCGGUGAAAUGCGCAGAUAUCAGGAGGAACACCGGUGGCGCAGGCGGGUCUCUGGGCAACUACUGACGCUGAGGAGCGAAAGCGUGGGGAGCGAACAGG